CGUAUAACCAGUUUGUAGGUCCUACUAUUUGAUCUGUGGACGUGACCAAUGAGGGCAUGGAGAUUAUGGCGAGGCAUGGUGAUGCGGUGGCAGUGGUGAAGGUAACCACAUCGAAGGCAGCGGCAAUGGGUGGUUGUCGAUGAAAGCAACAUGGGGAUGGGGGAGGUGGAGAGGCGAGGGAUGGAGGCGGAGGACGGCAGCCAGGGAGACGGAGUGGCAGUGAGAUUGGACGAGCUCGCCUGCGGAGUGCGUGGGCAAGAUUUCAUUUCCGGGUUGGACGAGGGCUUCUUUGUUUGUGUGUGUGUGCAUGUGUGAGUUCACACCGAUACUCGACCAAAUAUUGUGCAUGGUUAUCUGAAAUUCUAGACAAUAGUUCACAUCCCAGUGGCAGGUAAGAACCUUCUUUUUAAUUUAUCAAAUGGCGUCAAUAGACCAUAAAAUUAUCUUCAUUUAUAAUACUAAAGAUAUGUCAAUACAUGUUCUUACAUUUAGGCUCCUAAACCUGUUGAAUGAGUUCUAUAUACAAGAUUUAUAUUGUCCUUCUAUAAAUUAAGACUACACUUGCUAUUGAUGACUCUAUAAUUGUCAACCUGGACAGUAACAACACACUAUCGUUUUAUCUCUCAAUGUGAGCAAGUAAGAUUUUUUUUUCAGAGCUUUAUUCUUUUGUAUUAUUUUUCUAUUACAGAAGUUGAUGCUCCAUCUUGUUAUUCAUUUCCUGGGAUCAUUUCUCGAGGAAUGUACGGAUUUCUCGAAGUGACGCAAUGCUAUGAUCUUCAACCAUGAAAAUGAAACUGUCAGCGCUGAUGGCCUGCUCCUGUGAUCUCAUAGGUACCAAAAUGCAGCUUAAAUCUCUUUUUGAGAAUUGGUUCCUGAUGUUACAUUUAGCUACUCCUGUAUAUCUUUUAGAUUUUUUUCUCUUUGUAAAUUUUGAUUUUUGUUUGCUCACCUUGUAAUCAACUCUGUAUUUGAUGAUUUAGAAAUCAGAAUUCAGUUUAACUCUGCAAUUAACCCUUAAUGAUAAUAUAAUUGUUCUGGUUGCACUCAUCCCUAAUUCAUAGCUUCACCAAUGGUGAUAGCAUUGUGUCAAGGAGCAGGUGGAGAGGGAGAAAGAGAAAGGGAGAAUGGAAGCCAAGUGAUAGACAAAGAGAGUGAA
rnacentral:lncRNA from 1 species